CUGACGGAGCAACGCCGCGUGAGGGAUGAAGGCCUCUGGGCUGUAAACCUCUUUUAUCAAGGAAGAAGAUCUGACGGUACUUGAUGAAUAAGCCACGGCUAAUUCCGUGCCAGCAGCCGCGGUAAUACGGGAGUGGCAAGCGUUAUCCGGAAUUAUUGGGCGUAAAGCGUCCGCAGGCGGCCCUUCAAGUCUGCUGUUAAAAAGUGGAGCUUAACUCCAUCAUGGCAGUGGAAACUGUUGGGCUUGAGUGUGGUAGGGGCAGAGGGAAUUCCCGGUGUAGCGGUGAAAUGCGUAGAUAUCGGGAAGAACACCAGUGGCGAAGGCGCUCUGCUGGGCCAUCACUGACGCUCAUGGACGAAAGCCAGGGGAGCGAAAGGGAUUAGAUACCCCUGUAGUCCUGGCCGUAAACGAUGAACACUAGGUGUCGGGGGAAUCGACCCCCUCGGUGUCGUAGCCAACGCGUUAAGUGUUCCGCCUGGGGAGUACGCACGCAAGUG
rnacentral:rRNA from 1 species